GACGAACCGUGCGAACGUUGUUCGGAAUCACUGGGCUUAAAGGGCGCGUAGGCGGACUGCCAAGUCCGGGGUGAAAUCUUUCGGCUCAACCGGAAAAUAGCCUCGGAGACUGGCGGUCUAGAGGGGGUAGGGGCAGCUGGAACUUCCGGUGGAGCGGUGAAAUGCGUUGAUAUCGGAAGGAACGCCGGUGGCGAAAGCGAGCUGCUGGACCUUUUCUGACGCUGAGGCGCGAAAGCCAGGGGAGCAAACGGGAUUAGAAACCCUAGUAGU
rnacentral:rRNA from 1 species